rnacentral:piRNA from 1 species
AUGGUGCAAGAAACCAAGAAGUGAGGAC